rnacentral:lncRNA from 12 species
AUGUGUGGGACAAGCAUGUCAGGAACGAAUCAUAGCAACAGCAGCAGGGCAGGAACAGCUUGUGUGGCUCAUCCACGGACACCGGGUGUGGGCGUGCCACAUGGGGCAGGAUCACACUCCUGGCUGGUGGAGCCAGCAGGGUGGGCAGGGGCAUAUCCCAUGGGGGAGAGGAAAUCCUCCCUGUCAAGCAGGGCGGUGACAGCGUCUGACCUAAGUGUCCCAUCUCAGGGCCACCAUGGGGUGGAUACUCUGCAUGCAGAGCAGUGGCAGGCAGUGCGGUCAUCCAGCACAAGGUCCACACGUCCCACUGCACAGAGGAGGCUGCUGUCGCCGUCACAGAUGAGGCUCAGAGAGGGUGUCUCAUGUCCACGGUGGCUCAGUGUGGAGCAGGAACCCCUGCAGGGCCAUCUCUCUGUCACCUUGAGAAAGGAUGCCUGCCUCAGGGCACAGGGGAUAUUAUGUCACCUGGGCCCGUUUCAGUUCUUACUGAGGGUCUCAGAAAGAAUCCAGCCAUCAAGAGGUGACUGGGGCAGGCCUUUUGGAUGGGGCGUCCUGGCAUGUGCGUGUUUUGGAGCAAGUCCUCGGGCUCAUUCAUUCAAUCGUUCUGUGCAUCAGGACAAAAGGGCUGCUGUGGGGAUCCACAGGGCUCACCUGGCACAGAGCUGGUGCUCAAGACACCCACCUGCGCUGACAGCUCACGGCUCACUGUCCUGCUGCCUCCUCUUCUCGGCCUGUCCUGCGAUGGUCCCCGGCAAACAACAGCACCUGAGCCGCUGUUUCCAGAAGGUGCCUUCCAUCCUCCCACCAACAGCUCGGGCGGCUCCAAAGUCACAGGGAAGGGCCCCCCACCAUCCAACCACUGACAUAGACUCCAGAGAAAACAGCACUGCCGCUUGUUUCUUGUCUUCGACCAGGGCUUUGACCAUUGCGAUCACAUCCCCAUUGUGCCCCAGAGAGGCAGGUCCGAGGACCCGGAGCACCGCGGAGGUGACAGGGAAGGCAGAGCUGACGCGUGCGCGUGCGGGGAAUGAUUGUGGCAGCGCUGUGCCAAGCCAAGGCGUGUUCCCUGUGUCGUGCCCACGGCAGGCUGACGGAAAGAACGCGGACCGCACUCCUCGGCAGAGAGAACAGAGGCAGGGAAAAGAAAAGGAAAAGGAUCACAUCAGUCUUGUUUACAAAAACAUCCAUAUUAUCUACAACAACUCCUGCUCAUAG